rnacentral:rRNA from 1 species
UKAAAACCCGGACAGGGGUAAACCUGAGAAACCCGAAAGGUCGAAUGGGGAAAUUCAUUCGCGUUUCGGCUUAGCGGACUUGAACGAUGUUGCGACGGAUGACGAAGCACUUGUGUUUUGUCGCUGCUCAUUUCGUUUUUGCGGCCGUUGUCGAACGCUUGCACUUUUCCCCUAGUAGGACGUCGCGAUCCGUUGGGUGUUUGUCUAAAAAUCGAAGCGGCGACCGCGAGGCGUCACGCGGACCUUUGAAUUUUCGGCAAACUCGCUCGACGGUAUACUGAAGGCGCGAGGCCGCUAUUGGUGCGCGUAAUGAAAAUCACGCCUACCAUAAUUAGCGUUCGGACCGUAGCAAGCACGUACCGAUGACGGCGAUCGGACCCGGUGCCGAUUCUGUCGCGGGACGACUGUUGGUUUACGAUUUUCUCGAACAGACCUCGUUGUUGAAACGCCAAUCGGCGACGCUAUAGCUUUGGGU